GACGAACGCUGGCGGCGUGCUUAACACAUGCAAGUCGAACGGUGAAGCGCCAUCCUUUUUGGUGGGUGUGGAGGGGCGGAGAACGGGUGAGUAACACGAGAGUAACCUGCCCCCUCCUUCUGGAUAACCGCAAGAAAGUGCGGCUAAUACGGGAUAUUCUGGGUCUGACGCAUGAUGGGUCAGGGAAAGAUAUGGUGUCGGUGGGGGAUGGGCUCGCGGCCUAUCAGCUUGUUGGUGGGGUGAUGGCCUACCAAGGCGGUGACGGGUAGCCGGCCUGAGAGGGUGGGCGGUCACACUGCGGCUGCGCCGCCGCCCAGACUCCGACGGGAGGCAGCAGUGGGGAUUACUGCACAGUGGGCGCAAGCCUGGUGCAGCGCCGCCGCGUGGGGGAUGGUGGCCUGCUGGUUGUGCACCUCUUUCGCCGGUGAAGCAGGCCUGCCUCGUUUGUGGGUGGGUUGACGGUAGCUGGUCAGGAAGCGCCGGCUAACUACGUG
rnacentral:rRNA from 1 species